rnacentral:rRNA from 1 species
UGGUGGCGAGUGGCGAACGGGUGAGUAAUAUAUCGGAACGUGCCCAGUCGUGGGGGAUAACGCAGCGAAAGCUGUGCUAAUACCGCAUACGAUCUCAGGAUGAAAGCGGGGGACUCGCAAGGGCCUCGCGCGAUUGGAGCGGCCGAUAUCAGAUUAGCUAGUUGGUGGGGUAAAAGCCCACCAAGGCGACGAUCUGUAGCUGGUCUGAGAGGACGACCAGCCACACUGGAACUGAGACACGGUCCAGACUCCUACGGGAGGCAGCAGUGGGGAAUUUUGGACAAUGGGCGCAAGCCUGAUCCAGCAAUGCCGCGUGCAGGAUGAAGGCCUUCGGGUUGUAAACUGCUUUUGUACGGAACGAAACGGUCUGCCUUAAUACGGUGGGCUAAUGACGGUACCGUAAGAAUAAGCACCGGCUAACUACGUGCCAGCAGCCGCGGUAAUACGUAGGGUGCGAGCGUUAAUCGGAAUUACUGGGCGUAAAGCGUGCGCAGGCGGUUAUAUAAGACAGAUGUGAAAUCCCCGGGCUCAACCUGGGACCUGCAUUUGUGACUGUAUAGCUAGAGUACGGUAGAGGGGGAUGGAAUUCCGCGUGUAGCAGUGAAAUGCGUAGAUAUGCGGAGGAACACCGAUGGCGAAGGCAAUCCCCUGGACCUGUACUGACGCUCAUGCACGAAAGCGUGGGGAGCAAACAGGAUUAGAUACCCUGGUAGUCCACGCCCUAAACGAUGUCAACUGGUUGUUGGGUCUUCACUGACUCAGUAACGAGGCUAACGCG